rfam:Sediminicola sp. YIK13, complete genome.
UUUGAAGAGGAAGGAUUUGACUGAUUGCAACCUCGAGUUCCGGAAUUGUUCCGGAUUCUUAAAAUGCUAAAGCAGUUCCU